UAUUCUCACAAUGACAUCUCCAGGUCUUCAAACGGAAGACUACGACACAAAUGGCCUGCCUUCACCGUGCUGCAAUUUCUUCAACAGGUAACUUGCUUAGCCUGUGCUACGUAUUCAUACUGCACGUGGAUGUCACUGAAUGUCCUUUCUCUUCCAAUACAUAUCUGUAUCUAAAAGCACACGGUUUGCUUGCAGAUUUUCUUCCUUCCCUUCUCCUCCCUAUGGGAAGCUGCCCACUCCACCCCGAAAACACUGUCCCCCAAAGCAAGGGGACGCGCUGCACCCUCGGCUGUCACCGCGAGGGCUCGGCGCGCAUGCGCGGCGCGAGCGGCCGGGCCCCACAGCCGCAGGUCGUUGGUAAGGCGGGUCCGCGGACCCCAGGUCGAGCCCAGCGGCAGUGCAGGAUCGCAAGCGGCCCGGCACCGGCGCCGCAGGUCACAUUAGAUGAAUCUGUACCUUGGGACCACCACACCGUUAAUAUAUAAGACUGGAUUACAAUUAAAGGAUGAGGAAGCUUUCUCAAAGGGUGCUUUGUAUGUGUUUACUAGUUGUGCAAACCAUGAACCUCGGUAAUGUGGUUAAUAGACCAUGAAAAGGAUGUGGUUUCUGCCCUCGGCUUAAAACAAAGACAGCAAUAAGACUAAAAGUACUUCAGGGCACAUGAGAGCAAAUUUCAAUCAAUACUUAUAGGAGAGGGAAGUUAAUUUUGCCUGAAGAGAAGAUCUGGCCUGCAUUAUGCAUUAAUUAGUAUUAGCUAAAAACUAUGUGGACCUAGCCCUUAUCAUUAAAAUAAAACACUCAAGGGUUUACAAACUAUUGAAAUUUAAGAAAAUGUCUUUGCAAUGAAUGCUACUAAGACUCACUGUUAUUAAGUACAUACAUAUCAAUUCCAUAAACUCAAUGGAAAACAUUUUACUGUGCUUGUAAAAAGAAGUGACUCAUAAACAGGAAUUCUGUCAUUUUAUCACUUUCAUGAUAGAAUGAUGUGUAGAAUUUGUUUUACAAUGCUCCAGAAAUAAAAUGUAGGGAAUGGAAAGAAGAUAGGUGAAAGAAAAGUGGUGCAACAUCAGUCAGUGUUGAAGCUAAGUUCAUUUUGCUACUUUACCUACUCAUGCAUAUGUUGGAAAAUUUACAAAAUGAAAAGCUAAAAGGAGAGAGAGCAUCUUCAGCAUGAAAGACAGCCAUUACCAAAGCAUUUCCUAUCUUUAACAAAAACUGAAGUCUUAGCCUUCAGACUAAGGAUGGUAGGAAGAAAGUAGCAAGGAAGUAUGGGACUGACCUUGCCGUAAGGAGUCACAGACCAGGCUGUCUCUCUUUUGGCCUGCUGCCAUCCGCGUAAGACAUGACUUACUCCUCCGUGCCUUCCACCAUGAUUGUGAGGCUUCCCCAGCCAUGAGGAACUAAUACCCAUCCCAUAGAUGUACUUGGGAUAGACAGCUUCUGGCACUCCUCCCAAGAUCUCUCCCUCCUGGUAUUCAGGCCCUUGUGUGAUCCUUUCCUCUUGAGUGUGGGUUGGGCCUGGUGACCCACUUCUAACAGAAGAUGGGAAAACUGAUGGAUUAUCACUUCUUUGUUAAGGUUACAAAAACCUGAGACUUCCAUUUUGCUGGAAACUUCUUUUCCUCUUGCACACUCACUCUGCGACUCUGUGUGGAGAGCUCCAUGUGACAAGGGAGGUCUGCAGCCUAAGCAACUGAGACCUCAGCCCAACAGCCCUCAAAGAACUGGAUCUUCAAACAACCACAUGAGUGACCUAGAAGCAAAUCUGUCACCAGUGCUCUUGAGACGGGCUGAAGUAUUUAAUCACCGGCACAAAAUGUCCCAGUGUUCUGUUCUCCUGCUGUGGAAAUUUUAGAGAAAAGAUCAUGAUCUAAGAGUCUACAAGACCAGAGCAGCCUGAAUUGCUGAGCUGCCUGGUGGAGAAUAGCAGCAUUGGGUGGUUCCCAGGAUUCUUAAAAGGACUUUACAAAGGCCUGGCCUAAUCACUUAAGAGCUCUUAAGGAGUGAAUGGGCUCUUCCUGAAAAAAGAGCUUCUGCUAACCCUGAAAAGCAAGCAACAACCCUGUGAACUGCUAUGGAGAGAGAUGGCCUCUAACAGCUGAGGACCUCAGUCCUACAACCACAAGAAACUGAUUUCUGCCAACAACAUGAAUGAACUUGGAAAAGGCCCCUGAGCUCCAGAUGAGAACACCCAGGUCAACUCAGGUCAUGAGCAGAGAACCCUGUUAUAUUCUCCUUGGCUUGUGAUCCAUAAACAAUGAGAUUAUAAAUGUGUGGUUUUUAAGCCAUUAGGUUUGUGGUAACUUGUUACACAAGCCUCUUUUAGAUUCUUUACAUACACAAAUAUAUUCUAAACGAAUAAUGAGUCUUCCUUUCCCAUCUUUAUACCAUUUACUUCUUAUUCUUCCCUUACCGCUUUAAGACCUCUAGUAUAAAGUUGACUAGAAAAGGUGGUAGUGGCAUUAUUGUGUAGUUCUUUAUAUCAAAGGGAAGAUUUUCAAUGUUUUCAUGUUAAGUAUGACAUUUACUGUAGGUUUUUCAUAGAUGCUCUUUAAUCAGUUUAAGCAAUUCUUGUCUAUCCCUAGAAUUAUUGUCAGGAAUAAAUGUUGACUUUUAUCGAACACUGUUUCUGCACCUUUUAAAAAUAUCAUAUUUUUUCCUUCAAAUGGUUACUGUGUUGAAUUAUAUUAGCAGACAUUCUAAUGUUAAAGUAACCUAUCAUUCCAGAGAAAAGGAGGUGAGAAUAGCAGUUUAGUUAUGAUGCUGUAUCCCUUUUAUAAAUUCUUGGAUGCAAUUUGCCAAUAUUUGGUCUAAGAUUUUUGCAUUAUGUUAAUGACUGGAAAUGAGUCUUAAUUUUCCUUUAUUUUUCUGGCUUCUUUGUGUUUCGAUAUCAAGAAUAUGCAAGUCUCAUGCAAUAAAUUCUAUGGAAGAGUU
rnacentral:lncRNA from 1 species